UCCCUGGUGGGUUAGAUGGUAAGGAGUCUGCCUGCAAUGCAGGAGACCCGGGUUUGAUCCCUGGCUUGGGAA
rnacentral:tRNA from 1 species